rnacentral:misc_RNA from 1 species
AACAUCGCGCACCUGCGGGAACCUGCGGAAGGAUCAUUAAAAGAACUUGUGCCCGAGACAUUCGUGUCCAAGGCCCCACACUGUGUGCACCGUUUAUGUUCUUUUUGGCAGGGGCUUUGAGUUUCUUUUCCUUCCCCCCCUUGUGGGGGAGAAGAGGAACUCGAACUUCUCCUUCGACUCUAUCCUCCUCCCCUGGGAGAAGGACAGUCGGACAUGGGAAGCAGUUUACCCUGCCAAGUG